rnacentral:rRNA from 1 species
UUGGAGGGCAAGUCUGGUGCCAGCAGCCGCGGUAAUUCCAGCUCCAAUAGCGUAUAUUAAAGUUGUUGCAGUUAAAAAGCUCGUAGUUGAAUUUCGGGAUCAGCAAGUUGGUCGUGCCUCUGGUACGUACUGGCUUUACUGGUUCCUCCUUCUUGAAGAACUGUAAUGUCAUUAAUUUGGUGUUGCUGGGAAACAGGACUGUUACUUUGAAAAAAUUAGAGUGUUUAAAGCAAGCUAACGCUUGAAUACAUUAGCAUGGAAUAAUGAAAUAGGACGUUUGAUCCUAUUUUGUUGGUUUCUAGGAUCGACGUAAUGAUUAAUAGGGAUAGUUGGGGGCAUUAGUAUUCAAUUGUCAGAGGUGAAAUUCUUGGAUUUAUUGAAGACUAACUACUGCGAAAGCAUCUGCCAAGGAUGUUUACAUUAAUCAAGAACGAAAGUUAGGGGAUCGAAGACGAUCAGAUACCGUCGUAGUCUUAACCAUAAACUAUGCCGACUAGGGAUCGGAUGAUGUUAAUUUUUUAAUGACUCAUUCGGCGCCUUACGGGAAAC